UACGAAGGGGGCUAGCGUUGCUCGGAAUCACUGGGCGUAAAGCGCACGUAGGUGGAUCGCUAAGUCAGGGGUGAAAUCCUGGAGCUCAACUCCAGAACUGCCUUUGAUACUGGCAAUCUCGAGUCCGGGAGAGGGGAGUGGAACUGCGAGUGUAGAGGUGAAAUUCGUAGAUAUUCGCAAGAACACCAGUGGCGAAGGCGGCUCACUGGCCCGGUACUGACGCUGAGGUGCGAAAGCGUGGGGAGCAAACAGG
rnacentral:rRNA from 1 species